UCCUUCGUAUGUUCUUCCUUCGAAAAAAAUAAACGUAUUUUGAUGGCAGAGCUGACUGAUGGGUGCACAUGGCUCAUUCUAUUUUGAUGCCAGAGCUGACUGAUGGGUGCACGUGGCUCAUUCGUAUGUUCUUCCUUUGAAAAGAAUAAACGAUGAGUAUAACUGCAUGUCGAUUGCCCUGCUCCCAUUAACAGUUUCCUUUCUCUUUGCAGUAUUUUGAUGCCAGAGCUGACUGAUGGGUGCACAUGGCUCAUUCGUAUGUUCUUCCUUUGAAAAAAAUAAACGAUGAGUAUAACUGCAUGUCAAUUGUCCUGCUCCCUGUAACAGUUUCCUUUCUCUUUGCAGCAUUUUGAUGCCAGAGCUGACUGAUGGGUGCACGUGGCUCAUUCGUAUGUUCUUCCUUUGAAAAGAAUAAACGAUGAGUAUAACUGCAUGUCAAUUACCCUGCUCCCAUUAACAGUUUCCUUUCUCUUUGGCAUUUUUUAACAGAAAAUCUGUGGCAGCACAACUCCGUCAUGCGUGACAGGAGUUCUGCCGUUGCGAUAGCGUCUGACUGCGGCGUGGGCACCUUCGCCUUGUCAGCCAUCAGCUCCAAGGGCUCUUCCACCGGGUGGGAGCUGAAAAACUCAAAAACAAACAUAAAAACACACGCAAGAACAUCAUGCAUUUUAACCAACACGCUCUACACCUUCUCGGGCAUGAUUACAGCGUUGCUAAUAAGAGUCACAUGUAUUUUUUUUUUCCUUUCCGAUAUGCUUUUGAAGCACACAUCGCGAGAAACCCAAGGAAGGCCAAGGAACGUGCAUGCCGCAGGAACCGGAUCCUGGCAGAUUACCGGAAACAAUGUAAUAUCAGCUGCUGUUAGUUUUUUAAAUACAUAAAUUUGUUCACACAGUGCCCUCUACAUAUUUGAUUAUGCAGUGACUAUGACCCAUACAGCCUUGCGGAUACUGUGCACACCUGCACUUUCCGUACAGCCCUACAGACCCUGUACAGUCCUACGAAGUUUGUGCAGCCCUACGGAGUCUUACAGUCCUACGGAGUCUCUACAGUCCUACCGAGUCCUUAACUUACA